rnacentral:rRNA from 1 species
AUGCAGCCAGGCCGUCGGCGACUGCUCCUCCCCCUACUACUCACGGCACCAUCUUCAAAUUCAGAACCGCCGCCUCCACUCCUCACCAUCUUCAGAUGUGCUCUGGCUCCUCCCACUCAUCCUCAUCGCGGGAACGUCCAGACACUUCAGAUCCAGCCACGGGUACAACUCUCCAGCUGCUCCUCACCUCCGCUUUGGUAA